rnacentral:rRNA from 1 species
AUUGAACGCUGGCGGCAGGCCUAACACAUGCAAGUCGAGCGGAGCGGCGGACGGGGGAGUCAUGCCUAGGAAUCUGCCUGGUAGUGGGGGAUAACAUCCGGAAACGGGCGCUAAUACCGCAUACUAGCAGAUGAGCCUAGGUCGGAUUAGCUAGUUGGUGUGGUAAAGGCCUACCAAGCCGACGAUCCGUAACUGGUCUGAGAGGAUGAUCAGUCACACUGGAACUGAGACACGGUCCAGACUCCUACGCGAGGCAGCAGUGGGGAAUAUUUGACAAUGGGCGAAAGCCUGAUCCAGCCAUGCCGCGUGUAUGAAGAAGGUCUUCGGAUUGUAAAGCACUUUAAGUUUGGAGGCGUUACCAACAGAAUAAGCACCGGCUAACUUCGUGCCAGCAGCGGCGGUAAUAC